rnacentral:lncRNA from 1 species
GCAAGGUCCCCUCAGAAUUGGCCUGGGGGGUUCUAGUGAGAUUUCUUCCCAUGCGGAGACUAAGACCACAGGUCACCCUCAGCUCCUACUCACCCUCAGUCCAACCCAGAACACCCCACCGUUGGCCCCAUCUCUGAGCUUUGGGCACUCCAGAGAACAAUGUAUUGGCUUCCUCAGUGAUGUGGCUUCUUCCACGGGAGAGCACUGAACUGUGAGCCACAGUGGCCCCAUCUGGUGGCUGUCCUGCCUACUUCCCAGCCUCGUGAUCUUGGGCAAGUCAAUUCCCAUCUCUGAGCCUCAAUUUCCUCAUCCCUCUCCUGGGCUGUGGUGGAGAUGACAGGGUCCAGUGGUCAGGAAGCAGGCUGACGGCUGCAAAAUGUGAGUGUGUGUGCACGUGAGCACUUGGGUGGGGGGGCCAGAGUGGGGAGAGGGAGGCAUAUGGGUCUCCCACUUUGGGAGACUCCCGCCCUAUGGAUUUUCCACUGGCAUGUCGGCACCCUCUCCCCUAAAAUAGGCUCUACGAGCCGUGUGCGACAGAGCCCAGACUGAGGGGCCUUUUUUUAGCUGGCCUUUGAUUGUCAGCUCUCGAGCAGCUGCUAUUUUGAGCCCCAACGCCUAGAGGAGUAGGGCCAAGUGGGGGCUGAGGUUAGCUCAGUGGGCCUGGCUGGCUCCCCGAAGGCAUCCCCAAGGGGGCUGGCCAUCCCAUCUCACACCCUGCAUUGCUGGCAAGGAGAGCACGACAUCUCCUAUAGAUGGGGCCUAAGGGCUCCUCUGUCUACCUCUGCGGAAGCUGCAGACCUGGCAGAAAACAACCACAUUUACAGAGCACACCCCACAGGCCACUGCCCACCCACCCCCACCCAGAGAAGAGCAUGCUGUGGGGAUUAACUGAGAUAAUACAAGCAAAGCCCUUACUUAGCACAGAGGCUGGCACAUAAUUGGCUCUCAAAAAAUGGAACAGCUUCUGUUAUUAUUGUCAUUACAGCUGCAGUCAUUCUUGGUUUUGUUGUUAUAGUUAUGUUUUUACCAGAUUUCUUUCCAGUCUUUUUUCUAUGCAUUUAUUUUAUGUUACUGGGUUCGGGACAUGACCCUUCCCACCCCAUCCCCAUACAUGUGUACACGCCUAGUUUCAGCAGAAAGCAGCCCCUCUCAGUCUGCUGGGGUGCCCUCUAUGUCUCUGUGCUCCACUCCAUACAGGAAUCCCCCCUUCUAUAUAAGGCUUUUGGGGUUGACCCUCGAGAUGGCACUUGACCUUUCAGAGUGGAUGUAGUUGUGCCCACAGCUUCUGUGAUUUCUUCAAAUGCCAUCAGCCACUGCCCCAUAGGAUUCCAGGCCCCCAAUUCUGAAUGUCCAGUUCUAGAUGCUAGAUCCCUGGCUGGCCACUGUACCUGGGUUCUAGAGCCCUCUGACUGGAACCUGAGGAAAUGGGCUUGGUCCACAGCUAGAUGUGAGAAAGUGGCAUUGCCACUGCAUAAGGCGUGGCAAUGGAUCCUAAGGACAAAUGUAGAUGCUCUGGGACUCUGGUUAUGGGGUGUGUGUGUGUGUGUGUGUGUGUGUGUGUGUGUGUGCAGGGGUAUGGGCUGCUGAGAAGAGGGGGAUGAGGGUAGGAAGCCAAGUUCUGGGAAGUGGCUGGGGCAGGCCCUCCCCUUCCCUAUUGGGGUCACUUCCCAGCAGGGCAGCAAGAUCAGCUGGGGUUGGGGGGUCAUAUGUUCCAUCCUUGUCCCAAACAGUUACUGCACAAGGUGAGACUUCCUUGUUACCCGAAGGACAAAAAUAGGUCCCAGGUGAUGGGCCACGAUCCAUGCCCAGAACCACAAGGGUUAUUCUGAGUGGCAGGCACAGGGCCAGGCCUGGCCUCAGUCAGGUGGACCUGAGCUGGCAGUGGCAUCCUCAGCCUGCGGGCUUGCUCUGUCCAUUCAGGGACCCUAAAUGUAGGUCGGGGGCUGGAACUGCGUGCAGGCUGACGCUCGAUCGGUAGGGGCUUGAGUCCCAACUCCGCUAUGUGACCUUGGGUAAGCCACUUGGCAUCUCCGAGCAUCUACCUCCUUCCCAAAUGAUGGGAACCCUGAUCCCUGCCUCUCAGGGUGGGUGAGAGAAUUUAGUGAGGCUGACAGAUGGCACUCAAUAGAUGCACAAAUCCCUGCUCAUCUGUCCUGGAGUCUAGGCCCAGGGGUCCAGAGAGGGUAAGGGCCUUGCCUGAAUUGCCUAGCAGCAGAAAGGUCCCUUCUCCUCCAACUCUGAAGAAGCAAGAGCCAGGCACAAGAGCACAUUUCUGGGAGGGCAUAUAGGGAUUUUCCAGGAACAGCUCCAUCCAACUGGAGAAUUCCAUUCCCAGCCCUGCUGCCCAGGGCCCAGGCUAAGGAGGAGACACUCCAGCUCACUCUGGUUCUGUCCAGUUCCUGCUCCUCGCCGGCAGAGCCCAGGCAGAGUGCCCCACACCCUGUUCUCUUGCUGUUUGCUGUGGGGUUUGAGGGGCCUGAGGCUCCUAGGUGCCCCCCUCGAGGCCCUGGCACAGAACAGCUGGUCUGAGCACACAGUUGGUCCUCUCCCAACCCCUGAUCCCUUCCAGGAGCCCACUGUUUCCUUCAUCCAGCAUGUCCUAGAAUUUUCCCUGGACCCAGCUCCUGCCCUCAGGCUCACCCCAGAUGAACAUAGACAAGCUGACAUGAUGGACGCUGACUUGGGGACAGAUGGCACCUGACCCAGCUCCAGGGUGGGGGUUGACAAAGGCAGCUGGAGAGGGGAAAGGUGGUCAGGUUGGGACAACUGUCUGGGCAAAGGCUCAGAGGUGUGGCUGUGCUCAGGGGAUUGGGACACACUGCAAAGUUUCCUUAAGGCUGGAAGUCGCCUGAUAGGCACCGGGGGGUGGGAGAGUGGGGGCGUGGGAGGUAGGGGGCAGGCAGAGGGUUGAACAGAAUAUUUAUUUGCUGAGCUGGAAUUGAGCCCUAGUCCCUUUCCCAACACAGACUUAUCUCUUCCCCCCACAACCAUCCUCACCAGAAUUUUGGCCAGAAACAAGAGGAGUCCUGUCCGAGGAGAGCCCGGCUGGCUGACUGGAAUCCCAAGACAUGCCAAGGUGUCCCUGGGAAAUGACAGGACACCCAGAUCUGCUGGGAGCAGAGUUCUCAUAGGGUCCCAGCUGAGCCCUGGAACUCCCCAGACCCCCUCUGCCACUCCAUCUCUGCGUCAGCCCAGCACCUGUGCCCUAUCCGGCUUUGGCCACCAUCUCCACCCUGGGGAGGGGGAGCAUAACCCCCUCCAGCCUGAGGUUGGCGCCAAGGUUUAGGAGCCAGCACAGAAGCCUCUGAGAGCCAUAAGGGUAGAAAAGGUUACCCGGUACUAAACCAGCCAGCCUCGGGGUGAUCUCAUCCACUUCCCAAGAUAAGCCCCCUCCCCCACCCUCUGGCCACUGGCCAACAGGGUAAGUCACGAGGGAGCUGGUGGAAGAGUGUGUGUGAGGGCUGGGGGAAGGAUUUCAACUUGGGGUCACACUGUACAUUCUGUUUUGUGAUCAAUUCCCCCCAACAUUUACAGUAUUGACAAUUAGCAGUUUCCUGUCAGAUAAACUAUAAAGAUCUUCCCCCAUCACUUUUUCUUUUCCUAAUUAUUUCUAAAGUCUGCCAGGAUGGACACAUCAGAAUCUCUUUGUCCAGCCCUUGAGGAGGACAUGUAAACAGUGUCCAGUUUCUCUUUCUUACAAACACCAGUGCCAUAACCAUUUUUGUUCAAAUCCUCUUACGCAAUUGCCUCUCUCUCUCUCUCCCUUUCUCUCUUUCUCUCUCCCUCUCUCUAUUUCUCACUCAGUUGAGAUAAAUUCUGCCUGGUAGCAGGUGGGAGGGCAGGCCUCACUGUGUGCCUGAGUAGUUCUGGGCCCUUCCCCAAGCCAGAGGUGCCAGGCCCAGGGCAGAGGCCAGUCCAGGGCCACAGGGUCAGGACAGUGGACAGGCUAUGGUCUGCUGGACUCUGCCUGCUCGAGGCGGGCUCCCCAAGCUUCCACCUGCUCUUGCCCACCCCCAGCCCCAAGGACUAGGCUGGCCUGGACACAGGGAAAGGCCAUAUACAGGGUAUCACAUGACCCAUGCGUGCACACAGCCCCCAAUCCCAGGCAUAGGCAGAGGUCCCAGCCUCAGGGUGGGGCCCCCACACUCCGUCCAAUUCACAUCUUGCCUAGUGCUCCCCAGCUCUUGCUAGAAUGCUUCCAUAGACCAACAGCUCACUCUCCCUCCUAAGUUGCUGCCCGGCCUUUGGGGAGCAGGUGGAGCACAUGCUUCUUAUCAAAUCAAUACCUAUUCGGUAGAAUCACAUGAUUGCUGAGGAAGGUUUGGAUUCAGACACCAGGGUUUCAAACUCGACUCUGCAUUUACUAUUUUUGUGACCUUGGGCACAACCUUUUACAUGCCCAGGCUCAGUUUCUUCAUCUGUAAAAUGGGUUAAUAAUACUUGAUCAUAGGGUUGCAUGAAGAUUAAAUGAGAUAAUACAUGUAAAGUGCUCAGCAAGGCUCACAGAUGUGACCUAGUUUAUGAUCACAAAUUAUCACAAAUUGAGUCCCUACUAUGUCCAGUUAACAGAGAGACUCCCUCACUGGAAGCAACUCAGAGUGGCUGAAGCACAGAAGUGGUAGAGGUAUGAGAUGGGGUUGAAGAGUGGGCAGGGCCAGGUCACACUCAGCCUUGCACAUCAUGAAGGGAUUGUGACAUUUUUCUGACUCCUUGGAAGCAGGGGAGGAUGGUGGGAGGCAGAAAUGGGAGGAUGUCACUGAAAGCUUUUAUUAUUUUUUUUAAUGAUUUGUUUGUUUGUUUGUUUGUUUGUUUUAGAGACAGGUCUCUAUUGCUCAGGCUGGAGUGCAGUGGCAUGAUCAUAGCUCACUGUAACCUCAAACUCCUGGGUUCAAGCGAUCCUUCUGCCUCAGCCUCCCAAGUGGCUGGAACUACAGGGGUGUGCGACCACUCCUGGCUCAUUUUGUUCAACAUUAUUUUGUUACAACAUUGAUGAAGAAAAAAAUCUAUUUCUGGCUGGGGCUACUGUCUGUGUGGAGUCUGUAGAGGACUUUCUCUGGGUACUCUGGUUUCUUCCCCCAUCCCAAAGAUGUGCAUGUUAGAUUAACUAGCUUGUCUGCAUGCUCCCAGUCUGCAUGAGUGUGAGUGUACUCAAGGCAAUGGCAUCCUGUCUAGGCCUGGUUCCCGCCUGGCGCCCUGAGCUGCUGGGAUAGGCUCCAGCCAUCCAUGACCUUGAACUGGAAUAACUGGAUAAAUAAUUCUAUUACUUGUUUUUAUUAAUCUUUCUUUCUUUCUUUUUUUUUUUUUUUUUUGAGAUGGAGUUUCACUCUUGUUGCCCACGCUGGAGUGCAAUGACACAAUCUUGGCUCACUGCAACCUCCGCCUCCUGGAUUCAAGAAAUUCUCCUGCCUCAGCCUCCUGAGCAGCUGGGAUUACAGGUGCCCACCACCAAGCCCGGCUAAUUUUUGUAUUUUUAGGAGAGACAGGGUUUCGCCAUGUUGGCCAGGCUGGUCUCAAAUCCCUGACCUCAGGUGAUCCACCUUCCCCAGCCUCCCAAAGUGCUGGGAUUACAGGUGUGAGCCACCACACCUGGCCUUGUUUCUAUUAGUCUUUCUUACACGUGUUUCAAUGUUUAAUAUGAGAAGCAUUUGGGUCUUUAUUUAGAAGUCUGAUGAUAUUUCUAUCACCAGAAAUAUGCUGUAGGAACUUAACUCUUGUUUAUGUCAAUUAGCCUAUGACAAAAUUGGUUUCCUUGUAUGUCAUUUUGCUUAAAGCUGCAAUUUCCAAGAACUACAUUAAGUGAGGACAUUAUAUAAAGACUUACUAUAUUCUAUUAGUUGUUGUCAGGCCUCUGAGCUCAAGCUAAGCCAUCAUAUCCCUUGUGACCUGCACCUAUACAUCCAGAUGGCCUGGAGCAACUGAAGAUCCAC